rnacentral:lncRNA from 7 species
AAUUUGCAGUGGGAGAAGUGGAUCUGGGGUGAGGAAAAUAUUCAGUUGAAUAUGGUACAGAAAACGGCCUGUAUAGACUUUCCUGUUCCUCCUUUUAAAGAUGAUAGAAUCAUGAAUUCCAAAGUCAGAUCUGCCUGCCUUUCCUGGAGGAGACACUCAUGAGCUCUGAACUGGCUUGAAUUUUGAUGAGAACUUACCAUCUUUUGAAGCAUUUUCACCAGACAAGUCCCACAGUAAGAGCAGAGCCACUUCAGACUUGUGAGUGGGCUCUUGUGAAUGCUCUUCUCUUAACAUGGCCUAAUGAGUAGCCAGUAAAGCUUAGAAUAGACUUUUCUUCCUGCGUCAUCACAGUAAUUGGACUGUGGUCAUAGUCAUGCUGCAGAUCUUUUACUGCAAAGUAAAUGUGAUUGCUGAAAGCUUUGAAUCAGAAAUGCUUUGGACUUUGCUUGCAGAUACAUGGUUUUAUAAUUCCUGGGUUCCAGGAUUUUGUAAUGGAAGCUUGUUCGCGCUCCAUUAGAGAAAGGAAGAUAUUCUAAGAAAUUCUCUCCCAUCUUUGAAGCUUAUGG